AGUAAGAUGGCAGAGUGGCAAUGCAUUCCGCUGUAAACGGGGUUUUCGGGAGUUCAAUCCUCUCUCUUGCUA
rnacentral:tRNA from 1 species